rnacentral:rRNA from 1 species
UACGUAGGAGACGAGCGUUGUCCGGAAUUACUGGGCGUAAAGCGCGCGUAGGCGGGUUGGUAAGUCCGCUGUGAAAGCCCGGAGCUUAACUCCGGAGGGUCGGUGGAUACUGCCAGUCUUGAAGGUGCUAGGGGGAGAUGGAAUUACCGGUGUAGCGGUGAAAUGCGUAGAUAUCGGUAGGAACACCAGUGGCGAAGGCGGUCUCCUGGGGCAUUCUUGACGCUGAGGCGCGAAAGCUGGGGGAGCAAACGGG